CCAAGAUCGGGUGCACCCGGUGGAA
rnacentral:miRNA from 1 species